GACGAACGCUGGCGGCGUGCUUAACACAUGCAAGUCGAACGGAAAGGCCCUGCUUUUGUGGGGUGCUCGAUUGGCGAACGGGUGAGUAACACGUGAGUAACCUGCCCUUGACUUUGUGAUAACUUCAGGAAACUGGGGCUAAUACCGGAUAUGAGCUCCUGCUGCAUGGUGGGGGUUGGAAAGUUUCGGCGGUUGGGGAUGGACUCGCGGCUUAUCAGCUUGUUGGUGGGGUAGUGGCUUACCAAGGCUUUGACGGGUAGCCGGCCUGAGAGGGUGACCGGCCACAUUGGGACUGAGAUACGGCCCAGACUCCUACGGGAGGCAGCAGUGGGGAAUAUUGCACAAUGGGCGGAAGCCUGAUGCAGCAACGCCGCGUGCGGGAUGACGGCCUUCGGGUUGUAAACCGCUUUCGCCUGUGACGAAGCGUGAGUGACGGUAAUGGGUAAAGAAGCACCGGCUAACUACGUG
rnacentral:rRNA from 1 species